GCGCGUAGCUCAGCUGGUUAGAGCGCACGACUGAUAAUCGUGAGGUCGGCAGUUCAACUCUGCCCGUGCCUACCAUU
rnacentral:tRNA from 1 species